GGAGAUGUGUGAUGUCCAUGACAGGUUCUCUGUGAUGCUGAUACCCAGGAACUUAAAACUGUUCACCUGCUCCACCACAGCUCUACUGAUGUAGACAUGGAGUUCUCUCCAUGUCGGGGGUUGCAGUCAUGGGUGUAACCGUUUCAGUGAACUGUAAACAGGAUGCAAAAAGUGCAAAGAAGUGAAGGGUGCUGAGAUGACUACUAAAUGUAAAAAACUGGUAAAUGAAAAAAAAUGACGUUACUUUAUGGGUACAUUAUAAAUAUUUAACUUAUGAAUACUCUUUUUCUAAUAAGGUCAUGGAAAUACAUUUUAAAAUUCUACAUUAUAUGUAUCCUGUUAAUUCCUUUAUUGCAAAAUAUGUGGACACUGCAUAUCUUUGUACUUUUUUAAUCACCAGAAAGAAUGUAUUCCUCAUCUUUUCUUUCACUGUGAUGUGGUUCAGACCUUUCAGCAAGAACUUGCUACCCAUAUUUUCAGCUUCAUUGAUGGGCCUUAUACUUUUACUUUAUAUGAUAUUAGAUGUAUGAUGUAUUUUUCAGACACAAGAACAGUUCCUCUCAGUACAUUGUCAAUUUUUACAUUUGAUGGCUAACGUUUAUAUCCACAAAUGCAUUUUUUUAUAAAUCCCCACCUAGUUUGCUGCCUUACCUUGCAGAACUUCAAAGUCUCCUGUAUUCUUUAAGCCAUAAGAAGAACCACAAAAGUGCCUUACUACCAUCUCAACACUCAGGACUCACUUAGGUAAACAUGUAAUCUUUAUCUUUACUUUUUAAAAUUUAUUUACUUAUUUAUUGUCUUCGGUUCUCUUAUUUCUUUUGGGAUCUUUUGUUUUGUUUUGUUUAGGUUUUUAUGCUAUUCCUGAGCCUUUUAUGUUGUUCUGUGUUCCUCAUGGCUUUGUUCAACUGUUUAUUUUGUGUGAUGGUUUUCCUGUAUUUGUGUGUGUUAUGUGUUUCAAUAUCUGUCCAAUAAAGUUGGAGUUGUCCUUCAUUAUUA